UACGUAGGUGGCAAGCGUUGUCCGGAUUUAUUGGGUUUAAAGGGUGCGUAGGCGGUCUAUUAAGUCAGUGCUGAAAUAUCCCGGCUUAACCGGGAGGGUGGCAUUGAUACUGUAGGACUUGAGUAAAGUUGAGGUAAGCGGAAUUGACGGUGUAGCGGUGAAAUGCUUAGAUAUCGUCAAGAACACCUAUUGCGAAGGCAGCUUACUAAGCUUUAACUGACGCUGAGGCACGAAUGUGUGGGGAUCAAACAGG
rnacentral:rRNA from 1 species